GACCCUGUGAAGGCAAGCAGAUCCCAAAAAUAACGUCUCAGUUCGGAUUGUAGUCUGCAACUCGACUACAUGAAGCUGGAAUCGCUAGUAAUCGCGAAUCAGCAUGUCGCGGUGAAUACGUUCCCGGGUCUUGUACACACCGCCCGUCACACCAUGGGAGUCGGAAAUGCCCGAAGCCAGUGACCCAACCAUAAGGAGGGAGCUGUCGAAGGUGGAGCCGGUGACUGGAGUGAAGUCGUAACAAGGUACC
rnacentral:rRNA from 1 species